rnacentral:rRNA from 1 species
UACAGAGGGUGCGAGCGUUAAUCGGAAUUACUGGGCGUAAAGCGCGCGUAGGCGGCUUGUUAAGUCAAAUGUGAAAUCCCCGAGCUUAACUUGGGCAUUGCAUUCGAUACUGGCAAGCUAGAGUAUGGGAGAGGAAGGUAGAAUUCCAGGUGUAGCGGUGAAAUGCGUAGAGACCCGGAGGAACACCAGUGGCGAAGGCGGCUUCCUGGUCUGCGACUGACGCUGUGGCGCGAAAGCUAGGGGAGCGAACGGG